UACGUAGGCAGCAAGCGUUGUUCGGAGUUACUGGGCGUAAAGGGUGCGUAGGCGGUUGUUUAAGUUUGGUGUGAAAUCUCCCGGCUCAACUGGGAGGGUGCGCCGAAUACUGAAUGACUAGAGUGCGGGAGAGGAGAGUGGAAUUCCUGGUGUAGCGGUGAAAUGCGUAGAUAUCAAGCGGAACACCGGUGGCGAAGGCGGCCUUCUGGACGAUGACCGACGCUGAGACGCGAAAGCGUGGGGAGCAAACAGG
rnacentral:rRNA from 1 species